UGAUCCACCUGUUCUCUCAAA
ensembl:piRNA 21ur-1144 ncRNA